rnacentral:rRNA from 1 species
UUUGGNNCCCGUUGAACUUAAGCAUAUCAAUAAGCGGAGGAAAAGAAACCAACAGGGAUUGCCCCAGUAACGGCGAGUAAGCGGCAACAGCUCAAAUUUGAAAUCUGGCUUCGGCCCGAGUUGUAAUUUGCAGAGGAUGUAUUUGGCGCGGUGCCUUCCGAGUUCCCUGGAACGGGACGCCAUAGAGGGUGAGAGCCCCGUCUGGUUGGACACCAAGCCUAUGUAAUACUCCUUCGACGAGUCGAGUAGUUUGGGAAUGCUGCUCUAAAUGGGAGGUAAAUCUCUUCUAAAGCUAAAUACCGGCCAGAGACCGAUAGCGCACAAGUAGAGUGAUCGAAAGAUGAAAAGCACCUUGAAAAGGGGGUUAAACAGUACGUGAAAUUGUUGAAAGGGAAGCGUUUAUGACCAGACUUGUGCCGUGUGGCUCAUCCGGGGUUCUCCCCGGUGCACUCCAUACGGUUCAGGCCAACAUCGGUUCUCGUUGGGGGAUAAGAACAGUAGGAACGUGGCCCUCCUCGGAGGGUGUUAUAGCCUAUUGUACGAUACCUUGAUGGGGACCGAGGACCGCGCUUCGGCUAGGAUGUUGGC